rnacentral:rRNA from 1 species
UGGGGAAUAUUGCACAAUGGGCGCAAGCCUGAUGCAGCCAUGCCGCGUGUGUGAAGAAGGCCUUCGGGUUGUAAAGCACUUUCAGCGGGGAGGAAGGCGAUAAGGUUAAUAACCUUGUCGAUUGACGUUACCCGCAGAAGAAGCACCGGCUAACUCCGUGCCAGCAGCCGCGGUAAUACGGAGGGUGCAAGCGUCAAUCGGAAUUACUGGGCGUAAAGCGCACGCAGGCGGUCUGUCAAGUCGGAUGUGAAAUCCCCGGGCUCAACCUGGGAACUGCAUUCGAAACUGGCAGGCUAGAGUCUUGUAGAGGGGGGUAGAAUUCCAGGUGUAGCGGUGAAAUGCGUAGAGAUCUGGAGGAAUACCGGUGGCGAAGGCGGCCCCCUGGACAAAGACUGACGCUCAGGUGCGAAAGCGUGGGGAGCAAACAGG